AAAUAAAAAAUUAAUAAUAUAAUAAAAUAAUAAAAAAAUUUUUAAAAUAAAUAUUAAAUGGGGGUUUAAGUAUUUAUAAAGAAAAAAUUAUAAUUUUAUAGUGAAAUAGUAUUGUGAAAAAAAUUUGAAAUAAUUGAAAUAUUAAUUUUUGAAAAAGUAAUAUUAAGUUUAUGUAUCUUGUGUAUCAGAGUUUAUUAAUAAAAAUUUAUAAAUAAAUAAAUUUCUCGAAUUUAAAAGAGAGAAUUAAUUAUAAAAGUUAUUAUUUCAAAAAUAUUUUUAAUAAUUAAUUUGAAAUGAAAUGUUAAUCGUUUUUAAAUAUAUCUAGUUUUUUUAGAAAAAAAUUUAAUUUAAAAUUUAAUAAUAAAAGUAUUUAAUUAAUUAAAAUAUUUUUAAUUUUAAAUUUAAUAAUUUAAGGGAUAAGCUUUAAAUUAAAAUAAUUAUAAUAAUUAAUAAUUAAAAAUUAAUAUUUAAAUUUUUAAAAUUUAUAUUGUUUAUAAAUUAUAAUUUUUUAUAAAUAAUUUAAUUAAAAAAAAGAUUUAAAAUAAAAAAUUUAAAUUUUUAUAAAAUAAAUAAAUUUUAAUAAUAAAAAUUUAGUUAUAAUGAUAAAAUUAGUAUAAAUAAAUUAAUAAAAUAAAAAAAUUAAUAAAUUGAAUUAAAGGAAUUCGGCAAAAAUUAUAUUCACUUGUUUAUCAAAAACAUGUCUUUUUGAAAAUAAUUUAAAGUCUAAUCUGCCCACUGAUAAAAAUUAAAGGGCUGCAGUAAUUUGACUGUACAAAGGUAGCAUAAUCAUUAGUCUCUUAAUUGGUGACUUGUAUGAAAGAUUGGAUGAAAUAUAAUCUGUCUCUAAUUUAUAAAUAGAAUUUAAUUUUUUAAUUAAAAAGUUAAAAUAAUUUUAAAAGACGAGAAGACCCUAUAGAGUUUUAUAAAUUAUAAAUAAUAUUAGUUUAUAAAUAAAAAAAUUUUAUUUAAAUAUUUAUUUAGUUGGGGUGAUUAAAAAAUUUAAUAAACUUUUUUUUAUUAUUUACAAAAAUAAUUGAAUAAUUGAUCCAAAAUUUUUGAUUAAAAGAAAAAAUUACCUUAGGGAUAACAGCGUAAUUUUUUUUUUUAGUUCAUAUAAAAAAAAAAGUUUGCGACCUCGAUGUUGGAUUAAAAUAAAAAUUAAGUGCAAAACCUUAAAUUUUUGAUCUGUUCGAUCAUUAAAAUCUUACAUGAUCUGAGUUCAAACCGGGGUAAGCCAGGUUGGUUUCUAUCUUUAAAAAAAUGAAAUAUUUUAGUACGAAAGGAUUAAAUAUUUAAAAUAAAUUUUAAUAAAAAUUGAAUAUUAAUAAAUUUAAAUAAAUAUUUGAAAUUAAUAAAUGUAAAAGAUU
rnacentral:rRNA from 1 species